ensembl:lncRNA
AUGCCCCCAAGAGAGGUCAUGAAAGACGGGAUCAUCCUGACCCUAGUCCCUGGCAUCUGCUUCAGGGAUUGCGAGAAAAGUCUUCUCCUUCUAAGACCUGAAGAUGCUGUCACACCUGAUAAGCAGGGUGAGCCAGAUCAUACAGAACUUGAUCUUUCUGCUCUGGUCGGAGAAAAACGUGAAAAGGAAUUAAGAUUCAGACAGCAGUGUUUCUGUUUCAAAGGGACUACUGCUGCUAAGUCGCUUCAGUCGUGUCUGACUUUGCGACCCCACGGACUGCAGCCCACCAGGUUUCUCCGUCCAUGGGAUUCUCCAGGCAAGAACACUGGAUUGGGUUGCCAUCUCCUUCUCCAAUGCGUGAAAGUGGAAGUGAAAGUGAAGUCGCUCAGUUGUGUCCAACUCUUAGGGACCCCGUGGGCUGCAGCCUACCAGGCUCCUCCAUCCAUGGGAUUUUCCGGGCAACAGUACUGGAGUGGGGUGCCAUUGCAGAGAAAGCCAAACAGGCAGGCUGUCAACCAACAGCAGUAGAAGCAUCAUUGCACUGAAGCGUCUUCAAGGAAGAAAGGGCCACCUGAUACAGUGAUGUUCGCCCUGCUUAUCCCAGCAGGGCCGGCUCUAUGCCAUAAUCGCAGCUCCCCAUGUUCAUCUGGGUUUGACACUUUCCAAGGCUUAGCACACAUUUGACUUUUCUCCAUCCUCACCACCCCCGAGUAAGGAGGUGGGAGCAGUGUCUCCACGCAGAUGAGAAUACCAAGGCUUGCAGGUUAAGGGAUGUCCCUGGCGUCCUGUACACCUGUGCUCCUCUCCCAUGAGGCUCGUCUUCGGGGGCCAGUAGAGGAUAGGGAGAAGAAGAGGAGGAAGUAGUGACAGUGCCAAGGACCAGGGAAAGAAGCCUUGGGUUCUGUUUCAGGGUGCAUUUUUACAUCUCCGUUUCUUAGUUUCUCUGCCUGCUCCCCCCAGCUCUUCUGCAUACAUCAGGAAUAUCAAUGCUUCCUGGCCAGGAUGUAACAAAAGCUACAGACUAACAGAAAAUAUCCUAGAACGGUGAGAAGGGAUCUAAACUAAAGCCCAGAGAGGUAAAGCGACUGGCCUAAGAUCACACAGCUGGCUAGCAACAGAGCCCAGUCUGCUAUUCCAGACUGCAGCCAUACUGGAUGAGCUAGAAUGCCUGGCCAAUGGCAAUGACCCAAGAAGCACCUGGGAAGUUCUGAAUGCAAGCAGUCCCUCUGUGCACUUCCCCGAAUGUCUGAGGUUGCACCCCCAGGCCCAUAUGCUCUACAUCAAAGCUGGAGGCUGAGCCAACAAGCCUUCCUCUCGUAUGGAAUGACUCUGAUACUCACUUCCGAGGCUCCAUUUCCAAGCGGAAACCUGCUGCCAAUCCAAACAGAACAAGCUAAUCAGAAAGCUUUGGGUUUCAUCCCCCUUGCUUACAGGCUACACUCUGGAGGUCUGAGCCCCUACAACAUAACUAUAGGGCUGGUGCCGGUUAGAGCGUACCCCAGCUGCAAGGGGGAACUCUCUGAACUGUAGAGGAUCUCCCCACCCCUCUGGCCAUCCCGCGUUCCUUCCUUCACUCAGUAAUCAUGGACUUGGGUCCUCUCUUCACCAGGCUUUGUGUGAGGAGCAAGAUCCACAAAUGCAGGUGAGACAGAAAACCACCUUCAAAGAAUCUUCCUUCUAUCUGGGAAGCAAGUCCCAUCUACAUUUUCUGGGCAAAUUCUCUGAGUCCAGCGGAAUCAGCCUCAGAAAUACAAAACCCAAAGCAAUGGUAUUCCAGCCCAGAAGGUCAAAGUGACCUGGCAUCUCCAACUCGGUGACCUGAGGCUGUGAAAGUAUUAAGGACGGGGAAUUUGUCCACUUAUCUGAGGGAGAAUUUAUGGAGCAGGCAGGUCUCAAACAGAUCCUAGAAGAGAAAGAAGAUUUGGGUAGAUGGAGCCUGGACCGUAUGGAGCAAGAGAGGGACGAGGAAACUAGCACGUGGGCGCUCACCGUGCUCUGCUGUCGUCAGCUGUAUGAGUCACCUCCACCCGUGUGAAGUCACCAUCGCUGCUCUCGUUUCACAGAUGAGAAAACUGAGGCUCAAAAGGAUUAAGUGAUCUGUGCAUGACCACAGUUCUGUCCGAGGCCUGUGUGACUCCAGAGCUCAUACUCUUUUCACUGCGCUGGGCCCAGGGAGGAGCUGAGAGGAGGCUGCAGUGCCGAUUACCAAAAAAAAACCACAAAAGAAAAAAGCAAAAGAUAGCUUAGUUACAGAAGACGCAGAAAGGUUUUCAGUUUAAAGCAGUCAUUUGUUCACAGUAUUUUUAGUUCACAGUAUAUUUCUGUAAAGCUGUGUUUGUUUUAUCAUCAUCCUUACCAUCCACACCAUCCUCCCCACAUCCUCACCAUCCUCACCAUCAUCCUUACCAUCAUCACCAUCCUCCCCUCUUACCAUCACCAAUCUUUCUGAUGAGGUUUUAUAACGAAUGAUAACCACAUGCUAGAUACUGAGCUAAGUUAUGGUUCUAUCUAAUUCUUCCGAUAAUGAGUUUAAUUGCAUAUUAUAGAUGAGAAAACUGAGGCAUGGGGGAAAACUCACCCAAAUCACACAUCUGUUAAGUAGCAGAGCUGAGGCACCAGCCCAGGCAGCCUGCCUUCAGAUCCUAUGGUCCUAAGCACACCGCUCAUCCUUUGAGAUUCUACCUAACAGGAAGAUGGAGGUGACGUCGAGGCUGUCACAGACACAGGACACAAGGCAAAAUGUACAAGUUGGGGACCUCCCUGGUAGAACCACACAUAAAGAACCUGCCUGCCAAUGCAGGGGGAACACAGGUUCGAUCCAUGGUCUGGGAAGAUCCCACAUGCUUCGGAGCAACUAAUCCUGUCGUCCAUCACAACUACCGAGCCUGCUCGCCCUAAAGCCUGUGGUGCACAAGAGAAGACACUGCAGUGAGAAAGAAGCUCUCGUGAUACAACACAGAGGAGCCACUGCUUGCCGCAACUCGGGAAAGCCCACACACGGCAACCAAGACCUCGCACAGCCAAGAAUAAAAAUUUUUUAAAUUUAAAAAAAUGUACCA